rnacentral:rRNA from 1 species
ACUGAAGGCUCUUUCUCGAUUCCGUGGAAAGUGGUGCAUGGCCGUUUUUGGUUGGUGGAUCGAUCCGUCUGGUUAAUUCCGUUAACGAACGAGACCUCGGCACUCCGAAUAGCGCGGCGGACGUCGCGGCCUCCGGGCCGUCUUCCGCACGAGCUUCUUAGAGGGACCGUCCCCCGCCGGGGAAGGAGGUGCGAGGCAACGACAGGUCUGUGAUGCCCUUAGAUGUUCUGGGCCGCACGCGCAUUACACUGACGCGUCCAACGGGUGACUCCCGACCCGAAGGGGCCGGGGAAUCCGCAAGGCGCGUCGUGAUGGGGAUUGAACGUUGCAAUUGUUGUUCACGAACGAGGAAUUCCUAGUAGGCGCGGGUCAUCAACCCGCGCCGAUUACGUCCCUGCCCUUUGUACACACCGCCC